rnacentral:rRNA from 1 species
GACGAACGCUGGCGGCGUGCCUAACACAUGCAAGUCGAGCGGGGAAUGCAGCAAUGUAUUCCUAGCGGCGGACGGGUGAGUAACGCGUGGGCAACCUGCCCUGCACAGGGGGAUAACACAGGGAAACUUGUGCUAAUACCGCAUAACAUACUUAUAUGGCAUCAUAUAGGUAUCAAAGGAGCAAUCCGGUGCAGGAUGGGCCCGCGUCCGAUUAGCUAGUUGGUAGGGUAACGGCCUACCAAGGCGACGAUCGGUAGCCGAACUGAGUGGUUGGUCGGCCACAUUGGGACUGAGACACGGCCCAGACUCCUACGGGAGGCAGCAGUGGGGAAUAUUGCGCAAUGGGGGGAACCCUGACGCAGCAACGCCGCGUGGAGGAAGAAGGUCUUCGGAUUGUAAACUCCUUUGAUGAGGGACGAAGGAAGUGACGGUACCUCAGGAACAAGCCACGGCUAACUACGUGCCAGCAGCCGCGGUAAUACGUAGGUGGCGAGCGUUGUCCGGAAUUACUGGGUGUAAAGGGCGCGUAGGCGGGUUAGCAAGUCAGAUGUGAAAUACCGGGGCUCAACCCCGGGGCUGUAUCUGAAACUGAUAAUCUUGAGUGCUGGAGAGGGAAGCGGAAUUCC